UACGUAGGGGGCGAGCGUUGUCCGGAAUUAUUGGGCGUAAAGAGCGUGUAGGCUGUUCGGUAAGUCUGCCGUGAAAACCUGAGGCUCAACCUCGGGCGUGCGGUGGAUACUGCCGGGCUAGAGUACCAAAGAGGGGGGUGGAAUUCCCGGUGUAGAGGUGAAAUUCGUAGAUAUCAGGAGGAACACCAGUGGCGAAGGCGGCUUCCUGGACACCAACUGACGCUGAGACGCGAAAGCGUGGGGAGCAAACAGG
rnacentral:rRNA from 1 species